GACGAACGCUGGCGGCGUGCUUAACACAUGCAAGUCGAACGGAGUGGCGAACGGGUGAGUAACACGUGGGUGAUCUGCCUUGCACUUCGGGAUAAGCUUGGGAAACUGGGUAUAAUACCGGAUAGUGCAAGAUGGGCUCGCGGCCUAUCAGCUUGUUGGUGGGGUAAUGGCCUACCAAGGCGUCGGCGGGUAGCCGACCUGGGAGGGUGUACGGGCACAAUGGGACUGAGGGACGGCCCAGACGCGUACGUGAGGCAGCGGUGGGGAAUAUUACACAAUGAGCGGGAGCCUAAGGCAGAGGCGCCGGGGGGGGAAAGAAGGCUUUCGGGUUGGAAACUCCUUUCGGCAGAGACGCGGUACCUGUAGAAGAAGCACCGGCUAACUACGUGCCAGCAGCCGCGGUAAUUC
rnacentral:rRNA from 1 species